rnacentral:rRNA from 1 species
UACGGGGGGGGCAAGCGUUGUUCGGAAUUACUGGGCGUAAAGGGCUCGUAGGUGGCCAACUAAGUCAGACGUGAAAUCCCUCGGCUUAACCGGGGAACUGCGUCUGAUACUGGAUGGCUUGAGUUCGGGAGAGGGAUGCGGAAUUCCAGGUGUAGCGGUGAAAUGCGUAGAUAUCUGGAGGAACACCGGUGGCGAAGGCGGCAUCCUGGACCGACACUGACAUUGAGGAGCGAAAGCCAGGGGAGCAAACGGG